AUAAACUAAAAAGAACUUAAUAUCAUUAAUACUAAAUCACAACCGGAUAAAAAGGAGAAUCACCUGAUCAUAACAACUUUAAUCCACCAAAUAUCUCGGUAAUUAAAAAAAAAGAACUAUAAAAGAAAAAAUUGAUUAAUUACCCAAGAAAAUAAGGAAGUCAAAAGUUAUAACAAAUCAGGAAACCCAAGUAUAUGAGUAUAUCACGCAUGAGUAGGUAGUGUCAGCUGCAAAUCCUCCUAGAAUAUCUCCCAUUUUCCUUGAAAGAAGCAAUUACACAAUAUCCUCCUACAAUCUCUCUCAUUUCUGUCAAUUGCUCUGCAAAUUUUGAGUAUAAUUCGGACUAAUUUAGAGCUUUUCAAGGUGAUGACUAAAAGAGCUAGCCUGCAAAUUCCAUGGGCUUCUCAGUGUAAAACCCGAAGCCUAACUUUUUCCAUACCCAAAACAAUUGGGUUUACCGUUAAUGGAAGUUUCCAGAUGAAGCAGCCGAAAAUGGAGAGAAUGUUUAGAGAAAACAACACGAAUGAUGUGAUAUUGAUGUGUAUGCGAUGCAUAAAGGGAGGCGAUGGACAAUCAGGAGCAGAUAAGAGGCAAUUCUAAUUUCUUGCUUUUCUUUAUUUUGUUUGUUUUUUAGAUUCAUGGUUUCAAGUUUGCUUAUUUUUGGCUACUUUUGAUACUGUUACUAUAGGAGUAUCAAAUGUAUCAUAUUUAAAAGUUAAUUGUAUCAUAUUUUGAUACUGUUUUCCUUCUCAAGAAAUUUUCUAAUGUUAAUCAUAGUUAAUGGAAGUUUUUAUACGCACAUGGAUGUCAAUCAUUUUGUUUAUAGUCUAUUAUUAUCCAUCCCAGACCACUCAAUAAACUUAAGGGGUUAAAACCUAGGAGGAUUUGUUGUUCUAGAAGCAGGGGCAUAAAUAAGUGACAAAUUGCUCCAAUUACGUUGGAUCUCCAUGACGGAGAUAUACUUCAGAGUUCAGAGCUCCUGCUGCAUGAGUCUAGAAGGAAGCUAGAACUACUUGAUCUCGAUUCUUGAAAGACAGUCAGGAAUAUAGUUUUUCUCAGUAUAAUUCCGUAACUACUAUUCUUUUGAAAAUAAUGUGUUUGAUGUUGUUUGUAUUAUGUUAAUUUGGGGUUUAUGAUGGUCUGAUUUGGUGAUUUUGUGAUGGGGGUUUGUUGUUUUGUGUGCAUGUUUAGAUGCAUUAUGAGGCUACAAAGUUUGCUUACCAAACAGGAGUUAAGGUGGCUGUAGCAUAUGGCGGCACACCCAUGGCUGAGUACACAACAGCAGGAGGAGAACUCAAAGGGGAAAAAGUUGUAGACCCAAGGAAUUUGCCGAGGAUGUCAUACUUACCUUUCAUAAUGCAAUGACAUAUAAUCCAGAAGGGCACGCAUCGCAUGUAUAAAAUACAAUUUAGUGGUUGUAGUACAAUUUUUAUCUAAUUUUUAUAUUUAGUGAUUGUAAUAUAAUUUUAAGUUUUUAUAUAAUAAAAUACUAGUAAUA